CCUACGGGGGGCUGCAGUGGGGAAUAUUGGACAAUGGGCGAAAGCCUGAUCCAGCCAUGCCGCGUGUGUGAAGAAGGCCUUCGGGUUGUAAAGCACUUUCAGUGGGGAAGAAAGCCUUGGGGCUAAUACCCUCGAGGAAGGACAUCACCCACAGAAGAAGCACCGGCUAACUCCGUGCCAGCAGCCGCGGUAAUACGGAGGGUGCGAGCGUUAAUCGGAAUUACUGGGCGUAAAGCGCGCGUAGGCGGUCUGAUAAGCCGGUUGUGAAAGCCCCGGGCUCAACCUGGGAACGGCAUCCGGAACUGGCAGGCUAGAGUGCAGGAGAGGAAGGUAGAAUUCCCGGUGUAGCGGUGAAAUGCGUAGAGAUCGGGAGGAAUACCAGUGGCGAAGGCGGCCUUCUGGACUGACACUGACGCUGAGGUGCGAAAGCGUGGGUAGCAAACAGGAUUAGAUACCCUUGUAGUC
rnacentral:rRNA from 1 species